AAAAGAAAUAUAAAAAAAUUACGUUUUUUGAAGCCUAGGUAUGGUUUUUCGCCUUAGCAACGCCCUUAGCAACGGAAAAAUAUAUACAACAAACUGUUUUAUUUUCCUUUUCCUUUCUACCUGUCCCUCCCCUGGACAGUAUGUUUUUGUCUAUUGAGUAAUAAAGCCGCUGACUAUAAAGUACUGCUGCUUUACACACGUUUUCAAAACGUUUUCAUCGGGAUAUUUUGAAAAGUGAAUUUACAGAAAUUGCUUAUUCUUUGCUGUUUUAUAUUGGAUUUGUCGAUCGAUUUACUGUUAUAAGUAUGCCACGAUCUGCUUCAAAAUCUCGUAAACGAAAAUAUCAAGGUAAUCAGUGGUCACAGGGUAAAAAGACCAAGUGUGGCGAUAGUGAUUUAACCAGCACAGACCAAGGUUCGACUUCAACAAGUCAUGCUAGUGCUUCGGCAAGGAAGUUGAGUAACCGUCUAAAACCUACAGCUAAAGCUAAUAUAAAGGUAGAUGGAUAUCGUAUCUUUAGCCUUGAAAUACUUUCUAACGUGUUGAAACAAGUUGCUUGUCAAAACUGUAACGAAAGUUGUUUGUAUUUGGAAGAAGAUAAUAAAAGAAGGCAAGGGUGCUCAUCAUAUCUUAGUAUUGUCUGCUCUAGUUGUGAUUGGAAGCACUGUUUCUAUACUUCAAAAAAACUAAAUAAAGGUUUUGAAG